GCGCCAGACACACUCACACACACACACGCACACGCACACACACGUGCGCCCCCGCGCCUGCCACCACCUGACCGGCCGGGCCAAUGGCUGCGCCGCCCGCGGACCCCGGAUCAGGAAAUACAACGCGGAGCAGCUCUGGGGGGGCUGCAGCUCCCCCCUCCCCUCACCCAGCUGUGUAUGUGCGGGCUGGGGGGGCUCAGGCGCAUGGAGCCCCAGACACCGCCCAGAGACCCUCCACCCACCCCCCCAGCAGCAACCCCGCCUGCAAGGGGUGGCCUGUGUCUCUUGGGGAGCCCCCGGACUCCGAGAAGUGCCACUGACUGCCCUUCAUUUGCUCAUUAGUCUCCCCCACACACACACUUCCACCCCGGAGAGCCCAACUCCAGGAUCAGCUGGAGGGACACCCCAGCUUUGACCCCCGCAGCAUUUUAGGGUUGGAAGGCAGGAGAAAUGCCCGAGAUCCCCCAAUGCCUUCCGCAGGAGGAGAGACCCCUGGCACUGCCCAAGAGUUUUUAAAGCCUCCCCUUUCCAAACCACCCGGUGGGCAGUGGGGCAGCCCUUCCCUCCAGGUGGAAAUGAAAGCGAUGAGGCUGCAAGAACCUCCGCCUUGUGCAGGCCAGCUCCGCCUCGGUUUCUUCCCCGAUCUGUCCCCAGAGCUUGCCAACGUUGCUAUUUUAUGACAAACAUGCAUACAAAUAUUUACAGACCUCUUCGGGAGCGGAGUUGCUGAUUAGCUAGCCUCACCUUCUAACCAGCAACAUGCACCUCACGCAUCAAGGAAGAAUUAUGGUCCUUUUUAGAUUGUUUCUAAAGAUAGUUCUCAUAUCCUGCUUUAUGUUCAGACUGUUGUUUCGCAGCCUCAUAGAUCAUAUAUCAUACGUAAUAAUGAAAGUAUAUUUAAAUGAGUGUUAUAUCUAACCGGUAAUACAUACAAAGUAUCAAUUUCUAUUAUGUAUGUACAUAUUCAGAUUGCAAACAAUUUAUAAGAUGGUCGAACAUUUCCAACGCUUGGUAAUACUGGGUUACCUAUCUAAACAUGCACUCAUUUCCUGGUCGUAGCAAAUGUCUAAAACAUUAAAAAAAAAAAAAAAAAAAAAACAAA